GAUGAAGAACGUAGCGAAAUGCGAUAAGUAGUGUGAAUUGCAGAAUUCAGUGAAUCAUCGAAUCUUUGAACGCACAUUGCGGCCAUAGGUAUUCCUUUGGCCACGCCUGUUCGAGCGUCAUUUACACCCUCAAGCCUAGCUUGGUGUUGGGCGCCUGUCCCGCCGUUUUCGCGCGCGGACUCGCCUCAAAGUCAUUGGCGGCGGUCGUGCCGGCCCCCUCGCGCAGCACAUUUGCGCUUCUCGGAGGCCCGGCGGAUCCGCGCUCCAGCAAGACCUUUCACGACUUGACCUCGGAUCAGGUAGGGAUACCCGCUGAACUUAAGCAUAUCAAUAAGCGGAGGA
rnacentral:misc_RNA from 1 species